rnacentral:rRNA from 1 species
UACGUAGGGGGCAAGCGUUGUCCGGAAUCAUUGGGCGUAAAGAGCGUGUAGGCGGCCUGGUAGGUCUGCUGUGAAAACUCGAGGCUCAACCUCGAGAUGUCGGCGGAAACCAUCUGGCUAGAGUCCGGAAGAGGAGAGUGGAAUUCCUGGUGUAGCGGUGAAAUGCGCAGAUAUCAGGAAGAACACCUAUGGCGAAGGCAGCUCUCUGGGACGGUACUGACGCUGAGACGCGAAAAGCGUGGGGAGCGAACAGG